UCCGAGUUGACCCCGGCAGUCUCCUAUGAGUCCCCACCAUAACGUGCUGGCAACAUAGGACGAGGGUUGCGCUCGUUGCGGGACUUAACCCAACAUCUCACGACACGAGCUGACGACAACCAUGCACCACCUGUGCACGGCCCUUACGGACCCCCCAUCUCUGGAGGAUUUCCGUGCAUGUCAAGCCUAGGUAAGGUUCUUCGCGUUGCAUCGAAUUAAUCCACAUCAUCCACCGCUUGUGCGGGUCCCCGUCAAUUUCUUUGAGUUUUAAUCUUGCGACCGUACUCCCCAGGCGGAAUGCUUAAAGCGUUAGCUGCGGCGCCGCAGGGGUCAAUACCCGCGACACCUAGCACUCAUCGUUUACAGCGUGGACUAC
rnacentral:misc_RNA from 1 species